GACGAACGCUGGCGGCGUGCUUAACACAUGCAAGUCGAGCGGUAAGGCCCUUUCGGGGGUACACGAGCGGCGAACGGGUGAGUAACACGUGGGUGACCUGCCCUCAGCUCUGGGAUAAGCCUGGGAAACCGGGUCUAAUACCGGAUAUGACUCCAUGACGCAUGUUGUGGGGUGGAAAGCCUUGUGCGGCUGAGGAUGGGCCCGCGGCCUAUCAGCUUGUUGGUGGGGUGAUGGCCUACCAAGGCGACGACGGGUAGCCGGCCUGAGAGGGCGACCGGCCACACUGGGACUGAGACACGGUCCAGACUCCUACGGGAGGCAGCAGUGGGGAAUCUUGCGCAAUGGGCGAAAGCCUGACGCAGCGACGCCGCGUGAGGGAUGAC
rnacentral:rRNA from 1 species